rnacentral:rRNA from 1 species
GUGGGGAAUCUUCCGCAAUGGACGAAAGUCUGACGGAGCGACGCCGCGUGAGUGAAGAAGGCCUUCGGGUCGUAAAGCUCUGUCAUCAGGGACGAACGGCCGGUGGAGUGGAAAGCCACCGGAUUGACGGUACCUGAGAAGGAAGCCACGGCUAACUAUGUGCCAGCAGCCGCGGUAAUACGUAGGUGGCAAGCGUUGUCCGGAAUUAUUGGGCGUAAAGCGCGCGCAGGUGGGAUCUUAAGUCCAUUUUUAAAGUUCGGAGCUCAACUCCGUGAUGGGAUGGAAACUGGGAUUCUUGAGUACCGGAGAGGAAAGCGGAAUUCCCCGUGUAGCGGUGAAAUGCGUAGAUAUGGGGAGGAACACCAGUGGCGAAGGCGGCUUUCUGGACGGUGUCUGACACUGAGGCGCGAAAGCCAGGGGAGCGAACGGGAUUAGAUACCCUUGUAGUCC